ACGCUGAUAAGCGACAAAGACAUGGAGGUCGUUUACAACGACGAAACAAAACAGUGAGCAAACCGAGCUCAUCGAGGAAUCAAACUCUGUAAUAAGAAAACGGAGCUCAUUUAGGAGAACUAUCGUCUGUGAUUACAGAACGGAGAAAAAUAGUCCAUGGCAUCGAGCUCAGAUGAUGACUUCAUUAUUCUGAUAUGCUCAAACCCCAAUCCGAUCGAAGCGAAGACACCACAUGAAGAGAUUCACAUCUCCACCACAGAUAUCCUAAGCUGGGACUUGCCCACAAUCCUCAGUUACCCGACAGUGAAAGUUCACGCAUGUCGUAAUAGGCUCAUUGAAAAAUCUUCGUAUUUCCAAGGCCUGCUCUGCGGGAGCUUUAGUGAAUCAUGUCUUGACAGUACAUCAAUUCAGUGGAACCUGGAAAUAUUUGUGCAUGUUCUCAAGUGCAUAUACGGGUGCCCAUUACAUUUCACUUCAAAAAAUUUCGUUCCUCUUUUUGAGGGUGCACUAUAUUUUGGGGUGGAGACGCUCAUCUCAAAGUGUAAAACUUGGUUUUCUGAAGUAUCUUCUCCCAAAGGGUCAGGGUCUUUGCAAAUAGAAUUGGAUGAUUUGAUUCAUAUAUGGAUAUUUGGUUUAGAAUUUGCAAUUGAGUUUCUUCCAGAAUUAUGUGCGGGCUAUCUUGCAAGGAACUUUAUGUGGGCCAUGACUAGCAAAGUUUUUGGCGAUGUUCCAUACAAUUUGUUAUUGUCUUGCUUAGAUCAUCCCUAUUUGACAGUUGACAGUGAGAUGCAUCUCUCUGAGGCACUUUUAGUUUGGCUUAAUGCUAACUCAAAACAACUGGAAAACUUCAGCAGAACCGGCGAGAAUUGUCAUGGCAUCUUUAGACAUGUCCGCAUUGGCCUUUUGCCAUUGUGGUUUGCUGCAGGGAAAAGAAGUUCUUGUUAUUUCUCUAAGGUAUUUGAGGAGAGCAUUGACUUAAUUUUUAGACUAGUUGAUGCUCCACCAAUAACUUCCAUGAAUGUCUUGGAACAUGCUGAUUUGCACCAUCUCAAGAUUCGGUUGACAGAAUAUUCUAAGAAGGUGAACCUUUCAGGUUGUCCACAAAUAACAUUAGCCACUCUUCUCCUGUCAGUGCUUCCUUUAUCAUAUAGCAUGGACCCCACCUUAAGAAAGAGUAUGAAGCAAAUUUUAAUUGGCCUUGAGCGUCGAGAGAGAGAUCAAAGUCCAAUUCCACAGGGUUUGCUUCCAAUGUUAUCCUUUGAAGCAGUACAGGAGAUAGAUAUUUCCAAGUGCCCAAGGCUACAUCUUGAAGCUGCCAUUACAUGUAUAAGCAAGUCAUUUCCUUCUCUAAGAACACUGAAAGCAGCUUAUCUUUUGAACUUCAAGACAACAGCUUUGCAUCAAUUGGUGCACAAGUGCCCUCUGCUCCGUGAAGUUGACUUAACCACGGAUAUUAGUCCUCUUAUACCAGCACAAGUGUCGGUUGUAUCCUCAAGUCUAGCUAUAACAUCACCACUAUCAAACAAGUCCCUCAGUGUUGGUGAUGAUCCUGCUGAUGUUAUGUCAUUAAAAAAGUCUGGAUUAUCAUUGCCAAAUAUCACAAAGCUCACAUUGGAGGGUCGAAGUGAUAUCUGUGAUUUGGAUCUCCAGUAUAUUUCAAAAUUCUGUUCUUCCUUGCACGAGCUGAACAUUCAAGGGUGUAUAUCAGUGACAGAUGUUGGCAUAUCAAAUCUUCUUUGCAAAUGUAUGAAACUGCAUUCAAUUGUAGUCUGUGAUACUUCUUUUGGGGUAAAUUCAGUUCUUUCUCUGUGUUCUGGUGUUACUAAUCAUGGUGGCUUUCCGGUUGCCCAUUUUCGACGGAACCAUAAAUCUUUGGCAUUUAGUCUUCAAAAACUGCAUAUGGGUGGCUGCAAGGGUGUCGACGAAACAUCUUUUCGAGAGCUUCUGUCUCAAACACAAACUCUAACGAGUCUUUGCUUGCGGGACACUCACCUUAAUGAUGAAAUUCUGCAUUGUUUCUCAGGUUUUUCCUUGGAGAUGCUUGAUGUUUCUAAUACCAUGGUUUCUGGAGCUGCAUUAGCUCAGAUAGUCCAUGGAAAUCCUGGUUUAAAGCACUUGAGAGCAAGGGGUUGCAGAAAUAUCUUGCAGCAGGAAACUAACACCUCAGUGGGGGAAUUUUCUUCCUUGUAUACAUGUAAAGAACUGUAUCUUGAGUUGGGCAAGAAAUGCAAAUUGGAGGAAGUGGCACUAGGAUGGGGAUUUUCUUGCUUUUCUGUUGAAGCUCUCCAACCCGCAAUAAAGUCAUUAAGGUCGAUAACUGUGGGUUUAGGCGGAUCAUUAGGUGAAGAUGUGCUGCAACAGCUAUCUGCAACUUGUCCUAUGCUAGAGUCACUAAUUCUUCAUUUCCAGGUUGUAUCUGACACUGUCGUAACAAACAUGAUGACAUCCUUGAUAAAUUUGCGAGUGUUGGCUUUGUGCUAUUGCUUUGGUGAUAUAUCUAUGUUAAGCUUCAACUUUUCUACGCCAAAUCUGAGGAAACUGAGGCUUGAAAGAGUAACCCCUUGGAUGACCAACAAUGAUUUGAUUAUUCUGACUCAGACUUGUGCAAACUUAGUUGAGCUUUCAUUGCUAGGAUGUAAGCUUCUCGGUUCAGAUUCUCAACAAAUCAUCUCACAUGGAUGGCCUGGCUUGACUUCUAUCCAUCUAGAGGAAUGUGGAAAAGUGACGGAAAAUGGGAUUUCUUCUCUUCUCGAUUGCACAGCUCUUGAAGAUCUCUUGCUGCUCCAUAAUGUGAGUCUUCUGGACAUGGAUCUGAUAAAUACAGUUCUGACUAGAUAAUAUACAAAAAUGACGCUGUAAUUAUUCAAAUCUGAGACACAGACAGACUUCAUUGGGGUACCACUUGCGUGCAUAAUUUUAAUGUGAUAAUUCUCAUGAGUUGUAGUUGGAGCUUUAUGUUUCUUAUGUCUGAUUGUGUCAAUCUGUUUUUUCUUGCCUCAAGUAGGAGGAAAUAGAUGGAACUUAUCAAAAAAAUAGAUAAAUAAACAUGUGCUGUUUUAUUAUUUGGAUUCUAAUUUCUUUCUGUGAACUCAUUGACAUUUAUAACCGACCCGAUGCUGGCUAUUUGCUGGGCUGGACUUAACCAACACUAUUCAGGGCCCUGGGAUACACAAGAACUUCAUUUUUUAUGCUGCUUCGAAGUUGCCAAUGCUUAGGAAGUUGUCAUUGGAUUUGUGUGAUGCAAGAGAAGGUGACUUUGACAUUCCAGAUUACGACGAUAAAUGUUUGGUGAGUACUGUGAAGAU